GACGAACGCUGGCGGCGUGCCUAAUACAUGCAAGUUGAGCGCUGAAGGUUGGUACUUGUACCGACUGGAUGAGCAGCGAACGGGUGAGUAACGCGUGGGGAAUCUGCCUUUGAGCGGGGGACAACAUUUGGAAACGAAUGCUAAUACCGCAUAAAAACUUUAAACACAAGUUUUAAGGUUGAAAGAUGCAAUUGCAUCACUCAAAGAUGAUCCCGCGUUGUAUUAGCUAGUUGGUGAGGUAAAGGCUCACCAAGGCGAUGAUACAUAGCCGACCUGAGAGGGUGAUCGGCCACAUUGGGACUGAGACACGGCCCAAACUCCUACGGGAGGCAGCAGUAGGGAAUCUUCGGCAAUGGACGAAAGUCUGACCGAGCAACGCCGCGUGAGUGAAGAAGGGUUUCGGAUCGUAAAACUCUGUUGGUAGAGAAGAACGUUGGUGAGAGUGGAAAGCUCAUCAAGUGACGGUAACUACCCAGAAAGGGACGGCUAACUACGUG
rnacentral:rRNA from 1 species